UUGUACCUGCUGGUACAAAUUUUUAAAUUGUCUAAUAAGUAAUGUGCGUUUUAAUAACAAUAAAAAAUGAUGAUGUGAUUGCGAAAUUAAGUUUAUAUUGCUGACCUGACCUGACCUGACUUGGCAAUACUGAGGGCGUUAAACAACCUUAUAAAUUCUAAAUAUGUAAAGAACUGUGCGAAACGUUCAUAUUUUUUACGCACGUAAAGCAUUUUAUUGUUAGUAAGUCAACAAAGAAAUAAAUGUUUUAGGCUUUACCCAUUAUUAUAUUGUGACGUUAUUUGACGGUAAAUACGAGUAAUGUUGUGAGUUAUGAAUUAGCAAUUUACGUGGCUCUAAAUAACCAAAAAUAUUAUCUUGAUAACUCAGCAUAAACAUUUAAGAAAUUUCGUGCAAUCUCUGUGAAGUUGUUAGAUUAUAAAGUUAAUUUAUUGCUUUAUUUUGAUCUUUCUAGGGGGAAUGAAUUUAGUAUUAUUAAUUAAAAAGUGAAGUUUUGAAAAAUUUAAACCGAAACGAAUCAAAUAACAGACAUGUUUUUUUAUCUUAUUUGAAAGAUUUGUGAGACAUUGCAGUAAACAAUAAUGCUUUAUUAAAAGAUAAGUACCAAGCUAAAUACAGAAUACGUUCAUAAUUCAGUUUGCUUGCUAUGGAGUUCCUCUAAACCGCUUUUAGUUGGUUGCAUAAAUAACUAUGCAAUUAAUUAAGAAGAUCGUUUCGUCGAAUGCUCAAGUAAAAAUCAAUACGUGCAGUAUGAAUAUGAAAACAAUGGUGGCAGUGACAAGCUUAUCGAAAAUUAACUGCAGACGUAGUGGAAAAGUAAUAAAGUUUCUUGUUGUUUUUGAUUUAUUUAUUGCAUUUUGUUAUUUUUUAAAUGGUUUUUAAUUGA